UACAGAGGUCUCAAGCGUUGUUCGGAUUCAUGGGGCGUAAAGGGUGCGUAGGUGGCGCUGUAAGUCGGGUGUGAAAUUUCGGAGCUUAACUCCGAAACUGCAUUCGAUACUGCGGUGCUUGAGGACUGGAGAGGAGACUGGAAUUCAUGGUGUAGCAGUGAAAUGCGUAGAGAUCAUGAGGAAGACCAGUGGCGAAGGCGGGUCUCUGGACAGUUCCUGACACUGAGACACGAAGGCCAGGGGAGCAAACGGG
rnacentral:rRNA from 1 species